UACGGGGGGAGCAAGCGUUGUUCGGAUUUACUGGGCGUAAAGGGCGCGUAGGCGGUCAGCACAAGUCAGUUGUGAAAUCUCCGGGCUUAACUCGGAAAGGUCAACUGAUACUGUGCGACUAGAGUGCCGAAGGGGCAACUGGAAUUCUCGGUGUAGCGGUGAAAUGCGUAGAUAUCGAGAGGAACACCUGCGGCGAAGGCGGGUUGCUGGGCUGACACUGACGCUGAUGCGCGAAAGCCAGGGGAGCGAACGGG
rnacentral:rRNA from 1 species